GGGUGCUAAGCUGGAGAUCUAUGGUAAAUUCAACUUCUCGAUCUACUAGCAGUCUUGGUAGUUCAUUAGAGAAUACGUCCGAAAAAUCUCGGACAAUAGGAAUAUCUUGAAUACAAUUCUUUUUCUUAAGCUUGCCUAACAUGACAAAGAAUUACUGAGUUAAGGCAUUUGAUAAAGAAUGUAGUUACCAUGUGUGAAUAAUAUCUAAAACUUUUAUUAAUUUGUGAAAGACUCUUUGUUAAGAAUAUUGAAUACAAACUUCUUAUGAACACAGUUUACAGUGACUUGAUACGCUGUUAACCAGUUCAUUAUCAGAAUUAUAUCAAAAUUUCCUGUGUCAAGUGCUAUUAAAUCUAUGCUCAAUU
rnacentral:lncRNA from 1 species